rnacentral:tRNA from 1 species
GCCUUCGUGGUGUAAUUGGAUAGCAUGUCCGGCUGCCAAUCGGAAGGUUCGGCAUUUGAGUCAUGGCGAAGGCA